rnacentral:rRNA from 1 species
GUGGGGAAUAUUGGACAAUGGGCGAAAGCCUGAUCCAGCAAUGCCGCGUGCAGGAAGAAGGCCUUCGGGUUGUAAACUGCUUUUGUACGGAACGAAACGGUCCGGGUUAAUACCCUGGGCUAAUGACGGUACCGUAAGAAUAAGCACCGGCUAACUACGUGCCAGCAGCCGCGGUAAUACGUAGGGUGCAAGCGUUAAUCGGAAUUACUGGGCGUAAAGCGUGCGCAGGCGGUUUUGUAAGACAGGCGUGAAAUCCCCGGGCUCAACCUGGGAAUUGCGCUUGUGACUGCAAGGCUGGAGUGCGGCAGAGGGGGAUGGAAUUCCGCGUGUAGCAGUGAAAUGCGUAGAUAUGCGGAGGAACACCGAUGGCGAAGGCAAUCCCCUGGGCCUGCACUGACGCUCAUGCACGAAAGCGUGGGGAGCAAACAGGAUUAGAUACCCUGGUAGUCC